rnacentral:rRNA from 1 species
AUUGAACGCUGGCGGCAUGCCUUACACAUGCAAGUCGAACGGCAGCACGGGAGCAAUCCUGGUGGCGAGUGGCGAACGGGUGAGUAAUAUAUCGGAACGUGCCCAGUCGUGGGGGAUAACGCAGCGAAAGCUGUGCUAAUACCGCAUACGAUCUAAGGAUGAAAGCGGGGGAUCGCAAGACCUCGCGCGACUGGAGCGGCCGAUAUCAGAGUAGCUAGUUGGUGGGGUAAAGGCCCACCAAGGCGACGAUCUGUAGCUGGUCUGAGAGGACGACCAGCCACACUGGAACUGAGACACGGUCCAGACUCCUACGGGAGGCAGCAGUGGGGAAUUUUGGACAAUGGGCGCAAGCCUGAUCCAGCAACGCCACGUGCAGGAUGAAGGCCUUCGGGUUGUAAACUGCUUUUGUACGGAACGAAACGGCCCUUUCUAAUACAGGGGGCUAAUGACGGUACCGUAAGAAUAAGCACCGGCUAACUACGUGCCAGCCGCCGCAGUAA